ACUGCUUUCUUCUACCUUGGACUACUUGUCCCAAGAUGCAGUUCCACCUCCCAGAUUCCCUAGUUACUAUCUCUAAGCACUGAAGUCGGUGUUUGGAGAAAAGGACUCAGGUGAGGACUGGAGUAGAGACAGGGUUUCACCAUGUUAGCCAGGAUGGUCUCGAUCUCCUGACCUCGUGAUCCCCCAUCCUCGGCCUCCCAAAGUGCUGGGAUUACAGGCAAGAGCCACCAUGCCCGGCCCAAUUUGAUUUAAUGAGUUAAUCUCACUUGGUGAAUAUGAAAAAGCAGCUUGUUAUGCAGCAAACAGUCCUAGAAGAAUUCUUCGAAACAUUGGUACAAUGAAUACAUUUAAGGACUGACAUUUUCUGAGGAGGCUGGGGAUGUGAUUUGUGAUUAUGGGGAGCAGGAUACUUAUAACAAGGCCAAGUGCCUGGCUUUAGCUCAGAUUAUCUACAGUGAAUGCGGCCUGCACAAGAAAGCUAUUCUUUGCUUGUGUAAACAGGGUCAGACUCAUAGGGUCAUGGAAUACAUACAGCAGUUGAAGGACUUUACUACCGAUGACCUGUUGCAGCUAUUAAUGUCAUGUCCCCAAGUU
rnacentral:sRNA from 1 species